AGCGAACGCUAGCGGCGGGCUUAACACAUGCAAGUCGAACGAAUGACCUUCGGGUCAUGAGUGGCGAACGGGUGAGUAACACGUAGACAACGUGCCCCUCGGCGGGGGACAACACCGGGAAACUGGUGCUAAUACCGCAUACGCCGGCGAGAUCUUCGGGUCUUGUCGGAAAGUUGCCCUCUCUUUGAAGGUGACACCGGGGGAUCGGUCUGCGGCCCAUUAGUUAGUUGGUGAGGUAAUGGCUCACCAAGACUGUGAUGGGUAGCUGGUCUGAGAGGAUGAUCAGCCACACUGGCACUGAGACACGGGCCAG
rnacentral:rRNA from 1 species